rnacentral:rRNA from 1 species
GACAGAGGGUGCAAACGUUGCUCGGAAUUACUGGGCGUAAAGCGCGUGUAGGCGGUCACGCAAGUCAGGUGUGAAAGCCCAGGGCUCAACCCUGGAAGUGCACAUGAUACUACGUGGCUGGAGUACUGAAGAGGAGAGCGGAAUUCCCGGUGUAGAGGUGAAAUUCGUAGAUAUCGGGGAGGAACACCAGUGGCGAAGGCGGCUCUCUGGGCAGAUACUGACGCUGAGACGCGAAAGCGUGGGUAGCAAACAGG